GGAGAGGUGACCGAGUGGUUGAUGGUAGCAGUCUUGAAAACUGCCGUGCCAGUAAUGGUACCGCGAGUUCAAAUCUCGCCCUCUCCG
rnacentral:tRNA from 1 species